GAUGAACGCUGGCGGCGUGCCUAAUACAUGCAAGUCGAGCGAAUGGAUUAAGAGCUUGCUCUUAUGAAGUUAGCGGCGGACGGGUGAGUAACACGUGGGUAACCUGCCCAUAAGACUGGGAUAACUCCGGGAAACCGGGGCUAAUACCGGAUAACAUUUUGAACCGCAUGGUUCGAAAUUGAAAGGCCGCUUCGGCUGUCACUUAUGGAUGGACCCGCGUCGCAUUAGCUAGUUGGUGAGGUAACGGCUCACCAAGGCAACGAUGCGUAGCCGACCUGAGAGGGUGAUCGGCCACACUGGGACUGAGACACGGCCCAGACUCCUACGGGAGGCAGCAGUAGGGAAUCUUCCGCAAUGGACGAAAGUCUGACGGAGCAACGCCGCGUGAGUGAUGAAGGCUUUCGGGUCGUAAAACUCUGUUGUUAGGGAGGAACAAGUGCUAGUUGAAUAAGCUGACACCUUGACGGUACCUAACCAGAAAGCCACGGCUAACUACGUGCCAGCCGCCGCGGUAA
rnacentral:rRNA from 1 species